AUCCCUGGAGGUGUUCAAGAAAUGCGUAGAUGUGGCACGGAGAGACAUGGUUAGUGGGCAUGGUGGGGACAGGUUGGCAAUUGGACUAGAUGAGCUUAGAGGUAUUUUCCAACCUCAGUGAAUCUAUGAUUUCAAGUUCAAAAGGAUUGGCCCACUAAAAGUUCCUAAAGCCCUGAACCUCUUCUUUUCAGGCCCCUGAAUGCUGGGAGCAUUCAGCUGUUACCUGAACUGGGUCCACAAAAACGAGCCCAUGAUUGCAGCAGCUUCCUAAAGGAAGCCAAACUCCUGACUGUAGGGGAGGAGCUGCUGGUUUUAUGUACACAUACACACUAAGAACUGUUUUUGUGAAUGCACACCACAAAUGAGCAUGUUUUGCUGUUCCCCUUGUUGCUGCCACUCCAGUUGUCAGCCAGAAAGCUUGGUGGCCCUACUGCAAGGCACAUUUUGUCCCAACCUUCUCAUAGUGUACUACUAGCACAGCUACCAACUAAAAAUUCCCCACUGGGAGUCAGCCCACAGCAACACUAGCCUCAACCACUGGCCCUGAGACUGUGAGCACAGACUGAGCCUUCAACGAUGAGAAGCCAUUUCUCCAGCAAACUUCUCUCUUACUUACAACAUACUGAGCACUGACAACUGGAAACCACUUCACAACCCCUCGCUGAAAGGCCCUAGAAGAGCUCAAAUAAUUUCACAAUAGCACAUUGCAAAUGAUCAUCAUACAGUGUUUCCUCAUGCAUUACUGGCAGCCUUACCAAGCAGCAGACCAAGAGGCAGAUCUGGCAGAGGAGAAAUAAGCAAGCACCGCAAAGGAAAAAAGCUGUUUCUAGUUCCUGCAGCUCAGAGGAUUGCUGCAAGGCUUUCUGUCAUGUUUCAUUUCCCCAGAAAAUUCAAGUCAGCUUUCUCCUCCAUUAGGCACCCCAUCAACGCCAUUAUGUACAUACAUACAUAAGCAUCACUUACCCGAGGUUACAGGCAACCAACAGCAGCACAGCAGACACAUUCCCACAGGUAUCCUAUUCUCUGCAACAGCCUCCAUUGUCCUGCAUCUUCCAGACUGUCCCAGAGCAGACUGAUGUCCCAGUGCCGCCCCAGGUUCUGGCAACUAGAGGUCUUCUUGCUCCAUAGGACCUUACCCAAGGAACCACAUAGCUCCCAGUGGCACAAACUGUGACCUAGGUCCCCUGCUGCACCUGCAAGCUAGAGCACAGCACAAUGCUCUCUAUGUUGCUACAGGAAGAAAACCCCACCCGCUCCUAUAAAUAGGGACUGCUGAUGGGCCCCGGCUGCACCUGGGGCUGGUCUUGCUGCAGCUCUUGCACCUGGUGCAGUUGGUGGGAGAUCCUUAAAACAUUGAAUAAUGCUGCUCUCAAGGAUUUCUCCUCCUGCUGUGCCCCUGCAGUCCUCCAGUAUGUCCUAAGAAAACUUAUGCAUACCACAGGACAAGCGAGUUUGUAGCUUUUCAUGGGACCAAAGGCACAUACCACCACUGUCUGGUGCUGCUGGAGAGAAAGACUCAUCCCACCAGGAGUUGACAUGCAGGCACUCAGCUGCUCUAUACUUCCCUGGCCUCCAGAACUGGAUACGCAACUCAGAUGAUUCUCUGGCUCACCAUCCUGUGAAAUGCACUUUAUUUAUAUGAAAGCACAUAAAAUGUAGCUAAGGCGGCUCCAAUAAGCUACAACAAAGGAUUUUUUUUUUCUUUUGACAAUUGCACGUGGCUUCCCAGUACAUCCCGAAGACUUCACAGCCAAACACUUUUAUGCAAAACCAACACCAGGAUGGCAGAAACCUCUUUCAUUUACACAGAGAAGAGCCCAGCACCUCUCCAUCACCAUGCCAUGCUGUUGGGACGUGCACAUGUGGCCUCAACUAAUGGAAGGGCACGCCGCUCAAGCCCACCACCUACACAGGAUAAUCAGCACCAACAACAUCUCUUCUGUUUCCAGUUGCUAUUUUAAGAAAAUGCCCUCAAAGCAGAACACCAUUUCAGAGAGUUUCGGCUACCAGAGAACAGAAUGGCAAAUGCAUGUAGUUGCCAAAGUGCUGCCUCUGGCUCAGUCCAAGUGAAGGAAGAGAAACAGCAAUACUGCUCUGUGGGACACCUCCGCUUCGCGCGCUGUCCUCCAGCUCAAAACCAAGUACCAACAAACUCACAAGAAGAGCCACGUCCAUUUUGGAACCUAUAAUUUUUAAAUAUAACAUUUUAUUGCUUAGAUGGUUUGAUACAGAACAACUUUUAUUUUGAAUUUGGAAGUACUGUACAACUGAAUAAAAAGAGGAAUAAAAGUACCAAAACAAA